GGGGAAUAUUGCACAAUGGGCGAAAGCCUGAUGCAGCAACGCCGCGUGAGCGAUGAAGGCCUUCGGGUCGUAAAGCUCUGUCCUCAAGGAAGAUAAUGACGGUACUUGAGGAGGAAGCCCCGGCUAACUACGUGCCAGCAGCCGCGGUAAUACGUAGGGGGCUAGCGUUAUCCGGAAUUACUGGGCGUAAAGGGUGCGUAGGUGGUUUCUUAAGUCAGAGGUGAAAGGCUACGGCUCAACCGUAGUAAGCCUUUGAAACUGAGAAACUUGAGUGCAGGAGAGGAGAGUAGAAUUCCGAGUGUAGCGGUGAAAUGCGUAGAUAUUAGGAGGAAUACCAGUUGCGAAGGCGGCUCUCUGGACUGUAACUGACACUGGGGCACGAAAGCGUGGGGAGCAAAC
rnacentral:rRNA from 1 species